AUGCUCCUGCUGCUCAUACCAGCGCUUGAGGUGAUUUUUGCCCUGAGUGACAUUGAUGUUGCAGGAGGAACAGGAGCCCAGUCAGUGACCCAGCCUGACCGCCACCUCACUGUCUCUGAAGAAGCCCCUCUGGAGCUGAGGUGCAACUACCCAUCUUCUGUUCUGCCAUCUCUCUUCUGGUACGUGCAAUACCCCAACCAAGGACUCCAGCUUGUCCUGAAGUAUGUAUCAGGGAACACCCUGGUUAAAGGCAUCAAAGGUUUCGAGGCUGAAUAUUUUAAGAGUGAAACCUUCUUCCACCUGAAGAAACCCUCAGCCCAUUGGAGCGACUCAGCUGAGUACUUCUGUGCUCUGAGUGACACUGUGCCUGGGACUGCAGGGGGAGCUGAACACAAACCUCCUGAAACACUGGGACUCUCUGUGACUCAAGAACUCAACCUGGGGAAUUUUCAAGAUCUCUUUUUCCUGUGCCUCCUGCGAAGACAAUAG